GAUGAACGCUGGCGGCGUGCCUAAUACAUGCAAGUCGAGCGAACGGACGAGAAGCUUGCUUCUCUGAUGUUAGCGGCGGACGGGUGAGUAACACGUGGAUAACCUACCUAUAAGACUGGGAUAACUUCGGGAAACCGGAGCUAAUACCGGAUAAUAUUUUGAACCGCAUGGUUCAAAAGUGAAAGACGGUCUUGCUGUCACUUAUAGAUGGAUCCGCGCUGCAUUAGCUAGUUGGUAAGGUAACGGCUUACCAAGGCAACGAUGCAUAGCCGACCUGAGAGGGUGAUCGGCCACACUGGAACUGAGACACGGUCCAGACUCCUAGGGGAGGCAGAAGUAGGGAAUCUUCCGCACUGGGCGAAAGCCUGACGGAGCAACGCCGCGUGAGUGAUGAAGGUCUUCGGAUCGUAAAACUCUGUUAUUAGGGAAGAACAUAUGUGUAAGUAACUGUGCACAUCUUGACGGUACCUAAUCAGAAAGCCACGGCUAACUACGU
rnacentral:rRNA from 1 species